rnacentral:lncRNA from 1 species
AUGCUUCUUAGACAGCAGCAAUUAUCUACAUUGCCACCUAAAAGGGUUACUGUCUUUGAUGGAGAUAUCUUAGAGUUUAGGUCAUUUAUGAACUCCUUUGAACAUAACAUUGAGAGUAAAACAGACAAUGGACAAGACAGAUUGUUUUAUCUUGAACAAUAUACAAAGGGCCAAGCUAGGGAUCUAGUAAAAAGCUGUCAGCAUAUGGAUGGAGAUCAGGGUUAUCUCAGAGCUAAGCGCUUAUUGCAUGAACAUUUCGGCAAUGAGUAUAACAUUUCCACCGCUUACAUUGAGAAAGCUCUUAGUUGGCCUAUCCUGAAGCCUGAAGACCCAAAGGCCUUGAAUGAGUAUGCUCUGUUUCUGAAAGGAUGCUGUAAUGCCAUGACAAAGCUGGAUUACAUGGAGGAACUGAAUGUUGCCUCUACCUUGAAAGCCUUAGUCAUGAAAUUACCCUUCAAGUUUAGGGAUAAGUGGAGGACUAAAGCUCAGGAGAAACUGGAUGGCAACAGCAAGAUUACAUUUGCAGAUCUUGUACAGUUCAUUGAGAAACAGGCAAAGAUAUGUUCCAACCCAGUAUUUGGAGAUAUCCAAGAGUCAGUUGCAAGUAAGAGUAAAAGGCCCGAGGUAAGCAAGCCCAUGUUUAGGCCCAAUGUUAGUUAUGCAGCUAAUGUGGCAGCAGUAACCACUCCAGUGACUUCAAAUAUGGACAGUGAUGUCAAAUUCCCAUGCCUCUGCUGUGAUGGUGCUCACAGUCUAGAGCACUGCUCUGACUUCAAGAAGAAAACACACAGGGAAAAGUUGAAUCUUUUACAGGAAAAGGCACUCUGUUUUGGAUGCUUGCGUACAGGACACAGAAGCAAAGACUGCCAUGCAGGGCGUCUGUCAUGCAACAUCUGCAACCGAAUGCAUCCCAGUGUGCUUCACAUCAACUUUCAGGUCAAAGGUGAGACCAUAAAGUCAGCAGAGCCACCAGAGAACAUCAAAGAGGUGAAGUCCAAUGUUUGUCGGCAUAAUGGGGCCGGGAACUCUAAAUGUGCACUUUCAAUCUUACCUGUUCAAGUGAAGUCUGUGAAAGGCAACAGGAUCAUUCAAACUUAUGCUUUUCUCGAUCCGGGCAGUUCAGCAACAUUCUGCACGGAGAGGCUGGCGCAGAAAUUGAGCCUGGAAGGGAAACCAACAACUGUUUUGCUAAAGACAAUGUCACAAGAACGGCCUGUCAAGAGCACGUUGGUGUCAGGUCUAGAAGUGAGCGAACUCGAAGGCAACAACUUCCUUCCUUUACCUGGAGUCUUCACUCAAAGGUCUAUGCCGGUGACAAAGGACGACAUCCCAACACAGGCGGAUUUAAGGAAAUGGCCUUAUAUCAGUGAAGUCCAAUUACUCCAAAUAGACUCUGGCAUUGA